CCCAUCAAGUUGCCGGUGUUUGCCUCUGCCUCUCUCUCUCUCUAAAGUAGUCUUUUGAAACUCUCGCUCACCUUUGUGAAAUCUUUUCCCCUCUCUCCCACUCUCCUCUGUGAAAGAGAAAUGCCCCAAACCUGCUGUCCCAAACUCUUUGCCCCAACUUGCUCUCUCCCGCUUUCCUCUAUGAAAGCGAAAUGCCCUAAACUUGCUCCCCAAACCCUACAAGGGUUACUUUCUCUCUCUUAAGUGCAAACAAAGGUAGCCCGUUCUCUUCUCUGCGGAACUCUCUGCCCCAAGCCCUAGCAGAGUUACCACAGCUGCAGAGGCCGUUUUAUCUCAUGCUAAAGUGGAAGAUCUUGGUCUCUUUAUUUCAAAUUGGGGGCUCAAUCCAUUGCUAAUUUUUUGCAUCACAAGUUUUGGAUGUUGUCUCUCUAGCAAUAAUUCGGUUUUUUCAUUUGGCUUCUCGCUCUCUACUUGAAUCUCUUUUUUUCAAAUGAAUCAAUACAAGAGAUGGAGUUCAUUUUGCUUGAUCCAGGUGGGAGAUUUGGGGGAUCGAUUCAUUGCCAUUGGGUUUUUUUAAAUUUAGUUUUUCUCUUGCUCUCUCUUUCUCUAAGUUAAUCUCUAUUUAUCUCUACCUAAAAGAAAUGAUCUCUCUCUCUACAACAGAUUUUAUUUCGAAAUUGUAGGCAUUUUUCACCCUGGAAGACAAGAAUUUCAAUUUGCAUUUAAGUUUUUUUUUUUCCUGAAUUCUUUUUUCAAAUUUCAUAGGCAAAAGGAUUUUUGCAGGAGUGUUUGAGCACGGGCGUGAGCAUUUCCCCCCCCUCUCUCUCUCUUUCUUUCUCUAACUUUCUCUCUCUAAUAUGAGUGCUUCUCAAUUUCUCUCUUCCCCAUAUGAGCAUUUUUUCCAUUGCCCUCUCCCUUUAACGCUCUUUGUCUCUCUGUUUCUAUCUAUCCCUACGGAGAAGGCAAUGGCAAUUUUUGGGUUACUUCCCCAUAACACAUUCAGGUGAAACACCCAUCAAACCCCCUCCUGAAGAACCAAAUCUAAAGAAGGAAAGCAAAAUCCUAUAAAUCAACAAAACGUGGUUAAUUAAGCUGGAUUUUCUGCAUUGAUGUAGUUUUUGGGGUUUGACUUUCGUGGUUAAUUAAGCUGGAUUUUCUGCAUUGAUGUAGUUUUUGGGGUUUGAAUUUUUCCUUGAGCACUGCUGAUUACUUUCUCCAAUCAAUAAUUUUUUUUCAUUGCAAUAUAUUAUUGCCGUGAUAAAUUAUUGCAAAUUAUCUCUUAUUUCUGUUGAUUUGCUUUGAAAAUUUAUUCUAAAUUAUGGGGAUUUGCUAAUUUGAAGCAAUUGAUGAGUUGGGAUAUUUAUUCUCUUGAAAUUUUCUUUGAGUAUUGUUAAUUAUUUAAUUGUUCUCUCUCUACAUUAUUCUUAUCAAGGGUUUACUGUUCUUUCACUUUGUUAAAUUAAUGGUAGUAUUUGAUUAUUACUAUUGAUUUUCUUUGGUAGUUUGACACUAUACAAUUAAUUAGGCUAUUGCUAAAUUGAAGUAAAUGAUGGGCUGUUGAUUAUUUCCUUGAAUUUUUCCAUGAGCCAUGUUGAUUAUUUCCUCUCUCUAUCAGAUUAUCACACAUGAUGGGUCAUUGCUAUUUCUUUGACUUUUGAAUUGAGAAACAGAGUUAGUGGUGUGCUAAUUACUAUUUAGCUCAACACUUUUGCUGCAAAUUUUUUGAUGCAAUUUUUGGGUUUCUUGCCAAUUUAAUUUUGAAUCUAAUGAUGUGCUAUUGCAAAUUUGAAGCAAAUUAUGAGAUGUCGAUGUUUGUAGUAUCUAAUCUAUUUUUGUGAUUUGAUCCAGUAGUACUAGUUAUGAAAUGAAUUUGAUGCUAUUUGUUUUGUUACAGGGAACUAGAAGAAGAGUGGUGGGUUAAAUAGUUUCAUACUUUGAUUCUUUUUUUUUUCUUUUCUUCUUUUGGGUUUUUGGUAAUUUGAAGUUAAUAAUGGACUGCUGCUAAUUUGAAUCAAAUUAUGAGCUGUUGUUAUUUAUUCCAUUUAUUUUUUCAUAAUUUGAUCUUAUUUAUUGCUAAUUUGCUAGUUUUCAUAUUUUUUUUUAUGUUAAUUAUUUUGUUACAGGGAUCUAGAGUGAAAGUGGAAUUUGCCGAUGCCACAAUUGCUUGAAGUCCUUUGGAUUUGAUCAGUCGAUCAUUUAUUUUGACAUAUUGGCAACCGCUGCUUCAUUUUUUGUAGCCAAAGAGACUGCAAAUUGUGUCCUUUUAUCUGCGUUUAAGCACGAGAAGUUACAAUGUCAUAGGGAGAUGAUUGCUUUUGUAUGUGCACGCCACAAGUAAGUUACCAAAUAUAAGAAAAUGAUUACAUGAGAAAAAAUAAGUUUGAGAUCACAUUCCCUGUAAAUUGUUUUCAUGGUAAUUCAAUUUCAUAUUAGCAAUUUGUUUCACAUUAGCAAAUUAUUUUUGCAGCUCAAAUCAUUUAUCUUUUCAAGUAUAUGUAUUUUUGUAGUUGAAUUGAUGGAGUUUGCCAAUUGGUGAUGAUAUUUUAUUCUUAAAAUGCAAUUAGAUGCAACCACAACAUUUGUUCCUACCCUUUCGGAUGGAUCCCUUAUAUUUGUUGAUUUGCCUUGAAAAUUUAUUGCAAAUUAUGGGGAUUUGAUAUGUUGAAGCAAUUGAUGAGAUGAGAUAUUUAUUCUCUUGAAAUUUUCCUUGAGUAUUGUUAAACAUGCUAAUGCUUCUUUUCUGUCUAUCCUCUCAUUAGCAAUGCUUUUUACUUUAUAUCAUGAUCGAACAUGGAGCUCUUUUUGUUUUUUCUCUCAAAUUAGACUAUAAGUGCAUCCUUUAAUAUAUUUUUAUUCUCAAUUUUAGCUCUUUUUUUCAUCUAGUGACAUGUAUUAAAUCACUUUCAUGGAGCCCUUGUCGUCCAUACCUUUUGAUAUUGAUUUUUUUUCCUUUUCUAUAUCGAACUUAUUAUUAUUGUGGUGGUAUAGAAUAUGAUACAUGAUACAUGAUAAGUCAUUUUUGUCAUUCUCAUUCCAUGCUGCUAAGCUGGAAAGAGACACCAACAAGUUAUAAGGUUUCCUCCUUACCAUGGAGGCAACCAUUGAGGAUCAUUCCUUAUGGUAUGGUGCCAAUGCGGAAGAAAUCUAUAGUUCUAUCAAGUUUGACCAAUCAUUUGAAUGGCAACAAGCAUCUGUGAAAAGUGUACAUGAACUAGUGGAAUUACAUGCAAAAGGGAGCAGUAAUGAUGGUUCUAAGGAGUUUGGUGUUAUAAACAGUUGCAGUGAGGAAGAUGAAAAUGCAAGAUUGGGAAGCUAUCCAAAUUAAGGAAAUAUUGCUUGUAAACCAUUUGUGGGUAUGGAAUUUCCAUCUGAGGAAGAAGAAAAAUUAUUCUAUGAUGAAUAUGCGAGGCAAAGGGGAUUCAGCAUGCGCAUGGGAAAUACAAAAAAAUCACAACAUGAAGGGGUCGUGUGCGCUCGUAAAUUCUAUGUUCAAGAGAAAGACAGUUGAUAGUGGAAAACCUACUCGGAAGGUACCACACACAAGAGUUGGUUACAAAGCAAUGAUGAAAAUAUAUAAGAAAUGUAUUAACAAGUGGGUUGUUACACGAUUCAACAAGGAUCACAAUCAUGUAUUUGUGAGCUCAAGUAAGGUCUCCAAUCGCAUCGGGUUGUUUUUUAAUGUAAGAGAAGUAUUAUUGAUACUUUUCAUAAAGACAAGAUUCCUACUAAUAAGAUUAUGAAUGUCUUUAGAGUAGAGUCUGGUAUAGAAUGUAAUUUAGGCCUAAUGGAUCGUGAUUGCAGAAAUAAGCUUAGAAUGCUUAAAAAGAAAAUCCCUAACAAUAAUGCUCAAUUGCUCUUAAAUUAUUU